rnacentral:rRNA from 1 species
AACUUUUAACAACGGAUCUCUUGGUUCUCGCAUCGAUGAAGAACGUAGCAAAGUGCGAUAACUAGUGUGAAUUGCAUAUUCAGUGAAUCAUCGAGUCUUU